GAUGAACGCUGGCGGCGUGCCUAAUACAUGCAAGUCGAGCGAACAGACGAGGAGCUUGCUCCUCUGACGUUAGCGGCGGACGGGUGAGUAACACGUGGAUAACCUACCUAUAAGACUGGGAUAACUUCGGGAAACCGGAGCUAAUACCGGAUAAUAUGUUGAACCGCAUGGUUCAACAGUGAAAGACGGUCUUGCUGUCACUUAUAGAUGGAUCCGCGCUGCAUUAGCUAGUUGGUAAGGUAACGGCUUACCAAGGCAACGAUGCGUAGCCGACCUGAGAGGGUGAUCGGCCACACUGGAACUGAGACACGGUCCAGACUCCUACGGGAGGCAGCAGUAGGGAAUCUUCCGCAAUGGGCGAAAGCCUGACGGAGCAACGCCGCGUGAGUGAUGAAGGUCUUCGGAUCGUAAAACUCUGUUAUUAGGGAAGAACAAAUGUGUAAGUAACUGUGCACGUCUUGACGGUACCUAAUCAGAAAGCCACGGCUAACUACGUG
rnacentral:rRNA from 1 species